rnacentral:rRNA from 1 species
UGUAUAGUACAGCUAGAGUUAGAUCUGACUCAGUAGUCGUAACAAGGUGAACCGCGUAGAGUUUCGUGCUUGAUCCCAGGACGCCUAAAAAUGGCGCCCGGGUGAGUAACACGUAGGUAACCUGCCCAGAAGCGGGGGACAACAUUUGGAAACAGAUGCUAAUACCGCAUAACAACGUUGUUCGCAUGAACAACGCUUAAAAGAUGGCUUCUCGCUAUCACUUCUGGAUGGACCUGCGGUGCAUUAGCUUGUUGGUGGGGUAACGGCCUACCAAGGCGAUGAUGCAUAGCCGAGUUGAGAGACUGAUCGGCCACAAUGGGACUGAGACACGGCCCAUACUCCUACGGGAGGCAGCAGUAGGGAAUCUUCCACAAUGGGCGCAAGCCUGAUGGAGCAACACCGCGUGAGUGAAGAAGGGUUUCGGCUCGUAAAGCUCUGUUGUUAAAGAAGAACACGUAUGAGAGUAACUGUUCAUACGUUGACGGUAUUUAACCAGAAAGUCACGGCUAACUACGUGCCAGCAGCCGCGGUAAUACGUAGGUGGCAAGCGUUAUCCGGAUUUAUUGGGCGUAAAGAGAGUGCAGGCGGUUUUCUAAGUCUGAUGUGAAAGCCUUCGGCUUAACCGGAGAAGUGCAUCGGAAACUGGAUAACUUGAGUGCAGAAGAGGGUAGUGGAACUCCAUGUGUAGCGGUGGAAUGCGUAGAUAUAUGGAAGAACACCAGUGGCGAAGGCGGCUACCUGGUCUGCAACUGACGCUGAGACUCGAAAGCAUGGGGUAGCGAAACAGGAUUAGAUACCCUGGGUAGUCCAUGCCGUAAACGAUGAGUGCUAGGUGUUGGAGGGUUUCCGCCCUUCAGUGCCGGAGCUAACGCAUUAAGCACUCCGCCUGGGGGAGUACGACCGCAAGUUGAAACUCAAAGGAAUUGACGGGGGGCCGGCACAAGCGGUGGAGCAUGGUGGUUUAAUUCGAAGCCUACGCGAAGACCCUUUACCAGGUCUUGACAUCUUGCGCCUACCUCUAAGAGAAUAGGGGCGUUUUCCUUCGGGAAACGCAAUUGACAAGUGGGUGCAAUGUCGUCGUCAGCCUCGGGUCCGGAAGAAUGUUGGGCUAAGUCCCGCAACAGACGCACCUUGUGUACUAGUUGCCAGCAUUUAAGUUGGGCACUCUCUAGAUGAGAACU